GGGGGGGGGGGGGGGGGGGGGGGGGGGGGGGGGGGGGGGGGGGGCGGUCGGGUGUGGGGGCGGACGGGUGCGUGGCGCGGGGGAACCUGCCCUGAGGUUCGGAAUAACUCCCCGAAGGGGGGGCUAAUGCCGGGUAAUGUCUUCGGACCAAAGAUUUAUCGCCUUUGGAUGGGCCCGCGUUGGAUUAGCUAGUUGGUAGGGUAAAAGCCUACCCAGGCGACGAUCCAUAGCUGGUCUGAGAGGAUGAUCAGCCACACUGGGACUGAGACACGGCCCAGACUCCUACGCGAGGCAGCAGUGGGGAAUAUUGGACAAUGGGCGAAAGCCUGAUCCAGCAAUGCCGCGUGAGUGAUGAAGGCCUUAGGGUUGUAAAGCUCUUUUACCCGGGAUGAUAAUGACAGUACCGGGAGAAUAAGCUCCGGCUAACUCCGUG
rnacentral:rRNA from 1 species